rnacentral:rRNA from 1 species
GACGAACGCUGGCGGCGUGCUUUACACAUGCAAGUCGAACGGAGAAGGUGGAGCUUGCUCCGCCGGAUCAGUGGCGAACGGGUGAGUAACACGUGGGCAACCUGCCCCUAACUUUGGGAUAACUACUCGAAAGAGUAGCUAAUACCGGAUAUGAAGUCUGUAGGCAUCAACGGACUUGGACAGGUUUUCGGUUAGGGAUGGGCCCGCGGCCUAUCAGCUUGUUGGUGAGGUAGUGGCUCACCAAGGCGACGACGGGUAGCCGGCCGGAGAGGGCGACCGGCCACGCUGGGACUGAGACACGGCCCAGACUCAUACGGGAGGCAGCAGUGGGGAAUAUUGCGCAAUGGGCGAAAGCCUGACGCAGCAACGCCGCGUGCGGGAUGAAGGCCUUCGGGUUGUAAACCGCUUUCAGCAGGGAAGAAGCGAAAGUGACGGUACCUGCAGAAGAAGCACCGGCUAACUACGUGCCAGCCGCCGCCGUAA